GCGGAUAUGGCGGAACUGGUAGACGCAACAGACUUAAAAUCUGUUGGGACUUUGCUCCCGUGUCGGUUCGAUUCCGACUUUCCGCACCA
rnacentral:tRNA from 1 species